UACGUAGGGGGCAAGCGUUGUCCGGAUUUAUUGGGCGUAAAGCGCACGUAGGCGGAUAUGUAAGUCAGGGGUGAAAUCCCGGGGCUCAACCUCGGAACUGCCUUUGAUACUGCAAAUCUUGAGUCCGGAAGAGGUGAGUGGAAUUCCUAGUGUAGAGGUGAAAUUCGUAGAUAUUAGGAAGAACACCAGUGGCGAAGGCGGCUCACUGGUCCGGUACUGACGCUGAGGUGCGAAAGCGUGGGGAGCAAACAGG
rnacentral:rRNA from 1 species